AUUGAACGCUGGCGGCAGGCUUAACACAUGCAAGUCGAGCGGGGGAAGGUAGCUUGCUACCGGACCUAGCGGCGGAUAGGUGCGUAAUGCUUAGGAAUCUGCCUAUUAGUGGGGGACAACAUCUCGAAAGGGAUGCUAAUACCGCAUACGUCCUACGGGAGAAAGCAGGGGAUCUUCGGUCCUUGCGCUAAUAGAUGAGACUAAGUCGGAUUAGAUAGUAGGUGGGGUAAAGGCCUACCAAGGCGACGAUCUGUAGCGGGUCUGAGAGGAUGAUCCGCCACACUGGGACUGAGACACGGCCCAGACUCCUACGGGAGGCAGCAGUGGGGAAUAUUGGACAAUGGGGGGAACCCUGAUCCAGCCAUGCCGCGUGUGUGAAGAAGGCCUUAUGGUUGUAAAGCACUUUAAGCGAGGAGGAGGCUACUUUAGUUAAUACCUGGAGAUAGUGGACGUUACUCGCAGAAUAAGCACCGGCUAACUCUGUGCCAGCCGCCGCAGUAA
rnacentral:rRNA from 1 species